rnacentral:sRNA from 1 species
UAGAUAUGUCGGUCGAUGUAAGUAGGUA